UACGUAGGGUGCAAGCGUUGUCCGGAAUAUUGGGCGUAAAGAGCUCGUAGGCGGUCUGUCGCGUCGGCUGUGAAAACUCGGGGCUCAACCCCGAGCCUGCAGUCGAUACGGGCAGACUAGAGUGCUGUAGGGGAGACUGGAAUUCCUGGUGUAGCGGUGAAAUGCGCAGAUAUCGGGAGGAACACCGGUGGCGAAGGCGGUUCUCUGGGCCUUACCUGACGCUGAGGAGCGAAAGCGUGGGGAGCGAACAGG
rnacentral:rRNA from 1 species